rnacentral:rRNA from 1 species
AGCCGGUGUGAAAAACUCCGGUGGUGUAAGAUGGACCCGCGUCUGAUUAGCUUGUUGGCGGGGUAACGGCCCACCAAGGCGACGAUCAGUAGCCGGCCUGAGAGGGCGGACGGCCACACUGGGACUGAGACACGGCCCAGACUCCUACGGAAGGCAGCAG